GUCUUUGUGACUGGCACUCAUGGACAGACAGUGGUGUUCAGGGACAGAACAGAUUUUGGAGGGGGUGGGGAGGCCAAUAAACCAAGAAACGUCAGAAAUAAAAGUCGCAUGAAGUACUCUGAUCUCUGUAUUUCCUUUUUUUUUUUUUUUUUUUUGAAAUUUGAUUUUAACUCUUGCUUUUUUUUAUGGUUUGUGUCUGUUUUUUCCACCCCCGCUGGCGCCGAGCUGCGCUGUUUUGUGUUUCUUUUUUUUUUUUUUUUUCUAUUUUUUUUUUUUAAAUUCUGAAGCCAGACCGUCUUUCCUCACAGCUCCACGGCUGCAUCUCCGUGGGCACGCAAGCUUCCCCUGGUUACCUGAGCUGCUCCUGCCGUCUCCCGCCUGGGCUUCGCCGUGGUGCACCCGAUCCCGGAAUCGUGCGUCUGCGCCCUGCGAAAGAAGGACCUGCUGGCGGAGCUCCGGCCGGGGUCUCCUGCCUCGCAGCUGGGCGAGGGGACUUGGAGGACAGGGUGAAGCUGCAGAAGACCUGGGGUGGGAUGGCUAGAGAGGACGCCAAGGACUGGGGAAGGGGAAGUUAGGAAUACCUUACAUCCAAUGCCCACCCGUGCUCCGCAGGGCAAGGGCAGCCGUCGCCUCGGCCGCGUGCACCCAGCUCAGGCUGUUCCCAGGGAUUUAGUCUGGGGGGACAACCCAUGGCGAGAUGUGGUGGCAUUUUACCUCAGAGUGGAGCUGAAGAUGGAUAAACAAGGUAUCUGAUGUAUCUGCCUGAGAAGGCAGAGCUGGAGAAAGGCGGAGCGAGGGAGCGCGUGAAAAGAAAGAGAUGCCGAAUGCCGGGUGAUUGUCUGCCGCUUGCUGUGCAUUCUCAUUCUAGGGAGGAUGGCAUAAUUUAUAACCCAGCACAUGGAUAGAGGAACUGUAAAUUGUAGUCUGGAUGUCCCCGGCGCUGUCGACGAAGGAACUGAUGGGCUAGGCUCACAGGCAGAAGGAAUUUUCCUUGUCUUGGAUGAGACUUUUGACUUGGACUUUUGGGUUAAGUUCUGGAGACCAGAAGGCCAAAAUCAAAAGUAUGGGCAGGCUUGAUUUCUUUAGAAGACUCCAGCGGAGAACUGUGUCUCCUUGCUUCUGAUUCUACAUCUCCAUCCAUGGGCCACUGUUUCAGCAACCUCAGCCAGUGCAACACAACCUCAGCCAAGAAGAGUAUGCAGAGAAAGGAGUCCCCUACCUGCCACAAAACUGUUGUCUGAAAACUGUCUCAUAUUGUCUCAAGUUGUCAUUCAUUGUGAAUUAGACCUGUUUAACAUGUAAUCUGCAACAUGCUUCACUGUCUAAUUUUCCAGAGCCCCUCAUAUAAGGAACUGUAUUAUUGGUAUAAUCAUCAUGGUGAAGAAGUUGGUAUGUGGGGGAGAGAUGACAGAAACAGAGAGUAAGUCAGAGCUGGCUGCCUGACAGAUAAAAAGGAAAUGACCAAAAAAAAAAAAAAAGACACAGAAGAAUACUUUGUUGUCCACACAGAAAAGGGAAGUGUAGGUAAGACAGCAGUAGACUAAGAUUCUUAAGACUCAAGUUCUAGUCUUAUUUAUUAGCUAUGGGAGGCCUUGAGGGAGUUCUAGAAUUAAGUGAUCUCUCUUUAUAAAAUAGGAACAGUAAUAACUUCCUGGCUAACUCCCUGGCUGUCUCACAAUGCUGUAGUAGUAAGAAAUAAUUUUAUAAUUAAAGACUAUUUUAGGGCUGAUUACAUUUUUGGGCAGUGGCUCAUACAUGUAAUUUCAACAUUUUGGGAGGCCAAGGUGGGCGGAUUGCUUGAGCCCAGGAAUUCAAGACCAGGCUGGGCAACACAGACCUUGUCACUACAAAAGAAAAAAACAUUAGCUAGGCGUGGUGAUGUAUGCCUGUGGUCCCAGCUACUCAGGAAGCUGAGACAGGAGGAUCACCUGAGCCUGGGAGGUCGAGGCUACAGUGAGCCAUGAUCACACUACUGCACUCCAGCCUGGGAAACAGAGUGAGACUCUGUCUCAAAAAAAAAAAAAAAGGAAUAUUUUACACUUCAAGGUUCUAUACAAAUGUAAAAUAUCAUUCUAUUACUUAUUUAUAAUGCUGAUUAUUCUUUAAAUGACUUUAAAAUGUUAAUCUCUGCUUGAGCCUACGGAGAAGUAUGUAACAAAUUUGUGAAGGAUUGGCAUUAAACAUAGUCAAAAUAAAACAUAGAAAUUAUGGUAAAUAAUUUAACUGGUAAAAUAAUCUAAGUGGUAGUUCUCAGGUAAGUGGAAAUUCGAUUAGCUGAUUGUUUAGGAUUCUUGGUUAUAAGUGACAGAGACCUGACUAAAAGUACAUGAAGCACAUAACUGAGAAGGUUGUGGUAUGGCUCAGCAGAAAUGGGAAAAUCUUGGGACUGGUUCGUGUUUUAUUUACAUUAUCUUUGUUCCCAGGCAGUCUCUGCAUGUAAGUGGCAAAGAUGACUGUCUGAAAAUAUAUACCUACUUUUUUAAAGGGCUAUCUCAAGCCAUUCUGGAGAAGCACCAAAAGCCACUUUGCUUAUACUGGGAGAAUAGUUUGCUUUCCCUAAUUUGUGAUGAGUGAAACACUGAACAGAGACAUAGAAUAAUAUUCUGUAGUUCAGGGUUGGUGUAAUAUGGCCAGUGGGCGGAAUCUGGUCCUCAGACUGAUUUUGCAAAUAAUCUUAUAGAAACACAGCAACACCCAUUCAUUACAUGUUGUUUAUGGUUGCUUUGGGGUUACAAUGGCAGAGUUGAGUAGUUGUGACAGAGAUCACUAGGCUCACCACAUCUGAGAUAUGUACUGACUGACCCUGUACAGAAAGUUUGCUGCUCUUAGAGGAAUGUGUGUUUCUAGUGUCAGCAAUAAACUUCUUGGAUUUGUUUUGUUUUCUCAUCUUUACAUGAUAGUUGCAGACUAGUUGAUCCUUGUGACCUGUUUUUGAAUGCCACUGUGUAUUCUGUCAGGGCCCUCUGAUUCUGUUUCUUAUGGUGCUGAAUGCACAAUUUAAUGCCCUGGAAUUUCCUUCUGUCUUCUGCUAAACUCAUGCCUCUUCAGAUAGUUAAAAUCCUGUUCUACCUUAGAAGUCUCCAGAGUUAUUUUCCUAAAUUAAGAAGAACUGGCUUUGAAGUUACUCAUUAUGCCACACACAAUGGUUGAAAAGAGCAUCUCUUAUGUACUGUGUAUAUUUCAGCAUCCACUCAGCUUCUUAGGUAGAAAAGGAAGAGUCUUCCACAGUGUAUUUUAUCCAUAUUUGGGUCAGAAACUCUUCUUUACCACGGAGCGUGAUGGAAGAAAGAUAUGGGAUGGUAACAGUAGGCCAGGGAUGUAAUAAUCACAAAAUUUGAGAUAUUUUGUGACUGGUGACUCACGCCUGUGAUCCCAGCAUUUUGGGAGGCCAAAGCGGGCGGAUCACCUGAGGUCAGGAGUUCAAGACCAGCUUGGCCAAUGUAGUGAAACCUCAUCUCUACUAAAAAAAUAUAAAAAUUAGCUGGGUGUGGUGGUGCACACCUGUAAUCCUAGCUACUCAGGAGGCUGAGGCAGGAGAAUAGCUUGAACCAAGGAGGUGGAGGUUGCAGUGAGCUGAGAUUGUGCCACCACUGCAUUCCAGUCUGGGUGACAGAGCGAGACUCUGUCUCAAAAAAAAAAAAAAAAAAAAUCUAGAAAAAGAUCUCCAAGAUUCAAUCAUCUAAUUAUUUCUUUUAAAAAUGAGAAAAAUGACUCCUGGUCAGCUUUUACCUUCUUUUUCCAACUGUCUUGACAAUACUUUCAUAUUGGGCUUUUAAAGUCUCAAGUAAUAGGUUUUUAAAACCUCAGCUGAUAAAAGUAUAAAAAUAAAGUUAAAACAUAUUAAAGACAAAACCCAAGAAUCAGCUUCCUCUUCCUUCAUUACUCUUGCAUGGGUGUUGGCUCUAAUUUCUCCAUCUAGUUAGGCAGUCCUUUGCUUUUUAUUGCUUGUUUAUUGAUGACAUUUGCCAUUUGUAGCAAUAGUAAUAGAAUCAUCUAUAUAUUUGUGGCCUUGUUGAAUGUAGAAAAAGGAUAGUGGCAUUUUCUAAUUGUGUAACCCUAUAACACCUUGACGGGGGACUACAGUUCAUAUGCUGGACCUUUUGUGUUUGUUCAUGGCGGGUGGGUUGCUUUAAUAUACUUAGCACAUUGUCCUAAUUGCCAUCCUUUUGGGGAGGGCUAUAUAUCCAAGCUAAUAUGGUAGCAUUUUUGUUUUAACAUAGAGCUGACCCAAGGUAGACGUAAGUGUUGUUCAUUUUUGCCUAAUACUAAUAAAAUUACCUAAUUGUUGAAGCUUGGA
ensembl:lncRNA CASC15 cancer susceptibility 15